AGAACUGUAGCUGAGUGGCAGAGCAUCUGCUUUGCAUGCAGAAAGGUCCAGGGUUCAAUCCCCAGCAUCUCUA